rnacentral:tRNA from 1 species
AAGGGAGACCUAAUUCAGGUAGGAGACGAAAAAAAAGUAGUCGCUACCAAGAAUCAAUCCCAAAAGGUCGGAACGAGGUAUGUGGCUUUCAAACUAGGUUCUGGGUUCAUAAAAGACCUGAAUCAGGAACAAGGGCUAUUAGCUCAGGUGGUUAGAGCGCACCCCUGAUAAGGGUGAGGUCCCUGGUUCGAGUCCAGGAUGGCCCACCUGCACAGGUGGCAAAAACAAGAGAAGCUCCGAAUCAGCACCUUAUCUUACUUAUAUAGUAAGAGAGAAUGCUGGCUCUGAGUAAAGAGUCCAGAGGAACCUUGAAAACUGCAUAGAGCUAGGUGAAAAAGCCAAAAAAGAAGACCGCAAGGUCAAGCUAAUAAGGGCUAACGGUGGAUACCUAGGCAC